CCUCUACUUGUCAUACUACGCAUGGGGAAGCGAUUCCUUGAUGGGUUCUAUGAGGGACAGACUGGGGUUACCAGUAGGAAGUUUGAGGCAAUAACAGGUCUGUGAUGCCCUUAGAUGUUCUGGGCUGCACGCGCGCUACACUGAUGGAUGCAGCGAGUGAUAACCUUUUCCGGAAGGAGUAGGGAAAUCUUGUGAAAGUCCAUCGUGCUGGGGAUAGACCAUUGCAAUUAUUGGUCUUCAACGAGGAAUUCCUAGUAAGCGCAAGUCAUUAUCUUGCGUUGAUUACGUCCCUGCCCUUUGUACACACCGCCCGUCGCUACUACCGAUUGAAUGGCUUAGUGAGGCCUCUGGAUCUGGGGUGGUUGCGAGAGCGACUAUUCUGAGAAAUGGGACAAACUUGGUGAUUUAGAGGAAGUAAAAGUCG
rnacentral:rRNA from 1 species